rnacentral:rRNA from 1 species
UACGUAGGGUGCGAGCGUUGUCCGGAAUUAUUGGGCGUAAAGAGCUCGUAGGCGGUUUGUCACGUCUGCUGUGAAAUCCCGAGGCUCAACCUCGGGCCUGCAGUGGGUACGGGCAGACUGGAGUGCGGUAGGGGAGAAUGGAAUUCCUGGUGUAGCGGUGGAAUGCGCAGAUAUCAGGAGGAACACCGAUGGCGAGGGCAGUUCUCUGGGAAUGUCCUGACGCUGAGGAGCGAAAGUGUGGGGAGCGAACAGG